CGGUGCCGUAGUCCGUCUCGCGAGCUUCGCGGCGACGUUACAGACGUCGCGUCGUGCUGGUUGCCGUGCCGUCCUGCAUCGCCCGAGGGUGGCCCUGCGUCACCGCAGCGUCCUCCCUGAAGUGUACGACGGAUUAACGGCGAUAAUCCGGGCGUCGCACCGCGCGGCGUCGCGACGCCGCGUUCACCGUGCGAUUGCGAGCGGAAUGCGCGCGGACGCGUCGUCACCGGUUCUGCGAGGGUUGAAACAUCUCCUCGGACUCACUUCCGGCAAAUGCGGACCGGAAGACGCGGAUCAUCGCGCUAUUCGAAUGUUCAGCGUUGACGUUGAUCGAGAUGUGAUACAGUGUUAGAGAAAAACAUUAGUAAAAAAAUAUACAUAAAAGUUUUAUAAAAUUAAAGAAUGUCGAUGAAAAUCGCCUCUUAUGCGAGAGACGAGGGUGGAAUAUUUGUUUACGAACUGAAAUACAUAACAAGUAGUUAAUUGAAUUUCUUGUAGAAAUCAAAACUGUGUGAAUAAAGUAAGUGUGUCGAAUAAAAUAAAGUGAUAUUGAUGAAAAAUCCUGGAUGUUUUUGCCGGUAGAGAACAUUUUUGCGAUUUUAAUUAAAUGCAUCGAGAUAAUAAACCAGUGGUAUCGGAUCAUUGUAAAAUUUUUUUGACCUGUUCAUGAGAAUGAGAAACGAGUUGAGUAGCGAAGAAAAUGAAAUGUUAGGAUAAAGAAGAAUCAGCGCGUCGUAAACUUGUGCAGUGUGCAGUUUGAAGAUUAAUCCAAAGUUUUACGUGUUAAUUAAAUUAAUUUAACUUAACUUUCGGCUACUAUCUUAGUCCAUUUGGAGUAAAAUUACGUUUGUGUGCUUGUGCGUUUAUAGUGAUUUUUUUGAAAAAAUGUGUCGAAUUUAGUGCGUGAGGUCCUUCUUCUUUUAAUUCUAUCGAGUGGAUUCUUCUUUGUUUCUGAAUGGACACUUCAAGAUUCGGCAUUCGAAACUCAACGGAUCUUGAUAUACAAAAUUGAUAUACAAAAUUUAAUUAAUUAUUAAAAAAAAA